CUUGUUAAUGUAAAAGAAUAAGAACAUAGACCUGUUAAACAUUUAUAGGUGGGGCAGGAUACAGAGCACAAUAAAGGUGCAGAAGACUUUUGUUCUUCUGGGAAGAAAAGUAGAAGAAUAUUGCUAGUAGCAUCCCUCAAGAGCCAUGUUACAACUUCAUAGGAUUGAACAGGCUUGUGGGUUUUGUUCGAUACAACAAUCACCAUGGCUCGAAUAACAAUACUUGUAGCUGCCGCCGCCCCACCUAUCAUAAACUGGCCUACAAUAAGUCCAAUAGCAUGGAGGUGGAGGUGGUCCACCAAAGUAGCAAGGGUCCCCACGUUGGCCAUGAUAACAUGCAUUGCAACAAAAUCCAGCCCACGUACCAGCCGUCAGCGGUGAAGAAACUGGUGUUUCUGGUGGUUUCGGGAGUAAAUUAGCUGGCCCUUCUGGUGUAGCAGCUUAUCACUUUGUCACUUGAUCAGAUAAGUGUAGCCGCUUAUCACUUUGUCACUUGAUCAGAUAAGUGAAGCUAAAGCUACCACUUAUCACUUUGUCACUUGAUCAGAUAAUUGUAGCUAAAGCUACCACUUUUCACUUUUUCACUGAUCAGAAGUACUCAAAUCCGGCGUUCCGCUCAAUUUGAUCAUUUAUUCGGUUUUUCGCAUUUUUGUUUUAUUCUCAUUUCAACAAUAAAUAUAUUUCAUCACACAUUAUAUUAUUCGUGAAAUUAACAUUUAAUCAUUAAAUUUCAGCUAUAUGAACUUAUUAUUUCAUUAUCUUUCCACACUCGUUUUCUAUGCACAUCACACAAGAUAUAAACAUAUCAUUCAAUCAUAGUCACAAGCUAUUGUAUUUAAACAUAACUCUUUUUGGGGCUAACCACACGAUAAACCAUUUCAAUGCAUAACUUAUAAAUUUAACGUGGCAUAAUCUAGCCACUACUUGGCCAAAGCCUAAGCAUAUACACCAAAUAUGUUAGCCAAAUACACAUACAGCAUAAGCAUUAUAAGCAUGGAUGAGCACAACAUUUAUUCAUGUAUCAGGCUUACCAACAUGUGCUAAUUCAUAAACCAUUCAUGACAUUAUUUCAUGCCAAAGCAUAUACCGAAUAUACCAUACACACAUACUAUAAAACUUUAUUUUCCCACAUGAGCUUAAACAAUGACCAAUAAUGCACAAAUAUAAGCAUCAUUUCUAUUUCAUCGUUUAUCAAUUAUAAUUAAGCAUAUGACCAAUUAUACACAAAUCAUUCAUAUAUUUCCCAAUUUUCCUCCUCCUCCUCUCCAUUCCACAUCCUUAAUGUGUAUAACACACUUAAACAACAUUAGCUAUAAUUUCACUAUUCACUCACAUGUAUAUUCAAAGCUGUUUAUCCGAGUCAGAGUCACUAAAUUAUUUUUAUCCGGAGAUACAAAGCUCCAAAUUAAGAUCCGUUAAUUUUUCUGAAACUAGACUCACAUACCUUUUUACCAUAAAAUUUUCAGAAUUUUUGGUUUAGUCAAAUAGUACAGUUUAUUCUUUAAAGUUCCCCUAUUUCGCUGUUUAAUAGUUCCGACCACUAUUCACUAAAAAUGAAUUACAUAAUUUUACAGAAUUUGGAUGAUGUUUCUGUUUAUUUCCUUUGAAAAUAGACUCAUUAAGGAUUCUAAGCAUAUAAAUUAUAACUCAUAAUUAUUUUUCUUAAAUUUUUGAUGAUUUUCCAAAGUCAGAACAGGGGAACCCAAAAUCAUUUUGACAUUGUCUCACAAAAUUUAUUAUAUCUCAUGAUUUACAAUUUCAUUGCUUACACCGUUUCUUCUAUGAGAAACUAGACUAAAUUAGAUUUAAUUUCAUAUUUUAUUCACCCUCUAAUUAAAUUCCCACAAUUUUUGGUGAUUUUUCAAAGUUAUACUACUGCUGCUGUCCAAAACUGCUUUAAUGCAAAAUGUUGAUUACUAAGUCUAUAACACUCUUAUUUUCCUUCUCUACACUAUUUCUCAACACUUUCUCUUACUUUCUCUUCACUAACAUUUCAAGAACAUAUAACCUUUUAUAAUAAAACCCUACAUUAACAUCAAUCUCAUACUUUUUCAAUAAUAUCAAACUCAAAAAUAUAUUGAAAUCAUGAUGUUCUUACCUUGCUCAAUUGACUUCAAUCGUUAACUUGAUUUUCUCUCUCCUCCAGCCUCUAUUUCUUGAAUCUAACUUGAUAUUCUAGCUCCCCAUAGUCUCCUUGUCAAUUUUCUCUCUUGGUGGCUAUGGAAAUUUCUUUGAUUUCUAAGUAAAAAUGGUGAAUUUUUUAUAAGAGGACCAAAUUGUAAAGAAAGCAAAACUUUCUUUCUUUUUCUCUCUUCUCACGUUGGUUGCAUGCAAGAAGAAGAUGAUUCUUCAUCUUUUCUUCCAUAUAUAUAUACUAAAUAAAAUAAUAAUAAAAUUAUAAAAUGUCAUUUAAAAAUCUAAUUAAAAUAUUAAUAAACUAAUAUUUAUUUAUUUAAUCUAAAAUAUCUCCAACAUCAUUAUUAUUUUCUAGAUUUCUCUUUCUUCUAAUUGACCAUUUUGCCCUUAGAUCUUUUAAAAUUCCAUCCUUGAGUCAUCACUUAAUUUGGUAAAAUUAUAAUUUAGUCCCUCAUAAUUCUUCAUCUAUUCAAUUUGGUCCCAAUUCAUCCAUUCUCCUUAGUUUCUAGAUUAUUCACCCUUUAAAUAUUUACACUAUUGGUCCUUCAACUUUUUCAUAUUUACACUUUAACCUCUCAACUUUUGAGUAUUUACUCUUGGGUAACAAAACUUUUCUCACUUUUGCAAUUUAAUCAUUUCUUGAAUUAAUAUGUCAUAAAUCAUAAAUUUUAAAAUAAAAUUUUUUUCUCGUCGGAUUUGUUGUCCCGAAACACAUGUUCCAACUAGACCCAAAAAAAUCGGGUUGUUACACAACCGGCAUUGCCUUUAUUUCGAACCGAAAUGUCGUAUCCAAUAAGUUAGGAUCAAACAUUUGGAAAUCUUAGGAACUUUAUUCAAUAAUUGCAUGGUUUUAAUAAAAUGGGCACUUGAUUAUCUAAAUUCAUCGAGAAGAAUUGAAGCCCAGUAAGUUAGGGCACAAUUCUCUCGAGAACCUAUGAAUACCAAGCCCCUUUUUAGGACUAUGAAAUAAAAUGAUUAUGAUGCUUUAAUAAAAUUCGACUCUUACAAAUGGAGCAUGAUUGAAUAAUGAUACAUAUAAUGUAAAAGAUAAAUAACCAUUUAAACUUAAAUUAGAAACGAUUAAACAAAUAAUAGGCAAAUACAAAUAUUGACCUCAAUCAUAUCAUACAAACAUCCAUAUUAAUAAUUUAACAACCCAUAAAACGAAUAAAAUAAAUAAGGUUUAAGAAAUAAAACAUUUAUGUACAAAAAUUAUGUAAGAAGGCUAAUCCGAAGUUAAUGAUAUACUCUAUAUACAUAUAUAUACUAAAUAUAAUCUAAUUUAAAUUAUAUGUAUUUUUAAAUAAUAUUGAUAAAUUUAAAACAUAUUGAUAACAAUUUAAAAAAUGUAUUAUUAUUAUAUCUUUUUAAAAAAAAUAAAAUUUGUACUAAUAAUAAGUUUGAGAACAAUAUCUAUCUAAUAUUAAAAUAAUGUUAAAAAAAUGAAUAUAAGAAUUGAUUUAUUUAAAAAACUUUCGAAAUCAAAAUUAAACAUAAAAGGCAUUUUUUGAAAUUGAAAAUAAUAAUCAACAAAUUUUAAAUCGAAUCUUAAAUAAAAUUAAAAUAAUAAUGUAAAAAACAAAACUAAAAUACGAUUGAUUCAAAGUAUUGGUAUAUAUAAAAAAAUAAAACGAAAAAUAAUGGUUUAUUACAUUUUAAACUAUAAUAAUAAAAAUUUAAACACUAGUAAAAUUAAAUGUUACAAAUAAUAUUAAAUCCUAUAAUAUAUGAAAGUAGGAUUAAUUAUAAUUAAAGAUAUUGUUGAAUUUAAAAAGAAAUCUAAAUUUGUAUUAAAUAGAAAUUUGUUUCAACAUUGAAGGACUAAACUAGCAAUUAAACGCAAGCAUUAAAAUAAUUACAAUCAAGCGCUGAAAACGACACCGUUUAAAAAUGAAUCAAAAUGAAAUCAGAGCCAGAUGUGCGGUACAAAUUAAAAAAAUAAACAAAAUCAGAUUGAAACAACACAAGAAAAAAGGGGACUUGUCGCGCAAAUAGACUGAAAAACCCAGGUGCGCGGAUCCUGCCCUCGGGUCGGGUCACCGCGCAGGUCUCAGCCUUGAACGACGCCGCAUAAUCUUGGGUCUAAACGAAAACAAAACCAAAUGUGAGUUACAAUUUACAAAUAAAUUAAAGGAAAUCAGAAUCGCAAUUUCAGUAAUUACAUAAGGACCUAUUAAACAAAUAGACCAAUUAGCCCAGUAUGCGCGGAUCCUGUAACACCCCUUACCCGUAUUCAAUACCGGAACAGGGUACGAGGCAUUACCAAAACACAUGCACUUGUAAACGUAUUUAACCGAGUUAUAAAAUUUCAUUUAAAUUAAAAUUUUCAAAAUAAUUAACAUGCUUCUAUAACUUUUCACAGUAUAUCCUCAAAAUGUUAUAAUCAUAAUAAUUAGGGCUUACGAGACCCGAUACAUACUCAUGCAAUUCAAUGCUUCAUUUCCAUUUCCCUCAAUUCGCAAUUUCUCAUGCUCACGAUUUAGAUCAUAUCACUAGCAAUUUCCAUUUAAUUCAUGUACAAUUCAAUGACAUCAAGUUCAACACUAAUACGUAUUUACCAUUUAACUCAAUGUUUAUUGAUUAUACCAAUCAAUAACACAUUUAUGAAGUUCUCAAUUUUGCAACGAAAAUAUCAUUUUAGCUUGAAUAACAACAUCGUCUUGAUAUAAAUACACUACUACUUAUCCAUUUACUUUAAUUCUUUUGGGCCCAUUUGUCACUUACCAUCCUUAAUCAAAUUAGGGAACGGUUACGGAAAAUUGAGUACUUCACUUUCACUUUGCCAUAGUAUAACUAUGGUCUUACAUAUGAUCACUUAUCACUUGUCCCUGAUCAGAUAAGUGUAGCUAGACUACUACUUAUCACUUUGUCACUUGAUCAGAUAAGGGUAGCUAAGGCUACCACUUAUCACUUUCUCACUUGAUCAGAUAAGAGUAGCUAAGGCUACCACUUAUCACUUUCUCACUUGAUCAGAUAAGUGUAGCUAAGGCUAACACUUAUCACUUUGUCACUUGAUCAGAUAAGUAUAGCACUUAUCACUUUUUCACUUGAUCAGAUAAGUGUAGCUAAAGCUACCACUUAUCACUUUGUCUCUUGAUUAGAUAAGUGUAGCACUUAUCACUUUUUCACUUGAUCAGAUAAGUGUAGCUAAUGCUACCACUUAUCAUUUUCUCACUUGAUUAGAUAAGUGUAGCUAAUGCUACCACUUAUCACUUUAUCACUUGAUCGAUAAGUACUCAAAUCCGACGUUCCGCUCAAUUUGAUCAUUUAUUCAUAUAUCAGGCUUACCAACAUGUGUUAAUUCAUAAACCAUUCAUGACAUUAUUUCAUGCCACAUCAUAUAUUGAAUAUACCAUACACACAUACUAUGAAACUUUAUUUUCACACAGGAGUUUAAACCAUGACCAAUAAUGCACAAAUAUAAGUAUAAUUCAUAUUUCAUCGUUUAUCAAUUAAAAUCAAGCAUAUGACCAAUUAUACACAAAUCAUUCAUAUAUUUCCCAAUUUCCUCCUCCUCCUCUCCAUUCCACAUCCUUAAUGUAUAUAACACACUUAAACAACAUUAGCUAUAAUUUCACUAUUCAUUCACAUGUAUAUUCAAAACUGUUUAUCCGAGUCAGAGUCACUAAAUUAUUUUUAUCCGGAUCUACAGAGCUCCAAAUUAAGAUCCGUUAAUUUUUCCUGAAACUAGACUCACAUAUCUUCAUUUUCGAAACCGUCUUUUGAAAACAAAAAUUUUGGUUGUCGACUUAAAAAAAAAACAAAAUGGAGUCGCCACCGAUCAUUUAUUAAGGUGUGACCGGCCCACCUCAAAAAUCAUUUUGGUCGGCGAAUUUUGAAAACAGGUUCGGGAGUCAGUUACGCACGAGGAAGGGUUAGCACCCUCGUAACGCCCAAAAAUCGGUACCAAAUUGACUAUUUAAUGUCUUUGUGUCGAAAAUUUAAAAAAAAAUUAAAAUAAGCUUGAAUGAUGAAAUUAGCAAAAGGAUAAUCAAUUGUUCAAGUCAUGUAAAGAAAUCGAGUCCCAAUACGUUAGGGUACAAUUCCUCAUAAUCCCCAAACUUGAAUAUCACUUUUAUUUUAUACGAAAAUCUUCAUUUCGAGAAAGUAACAUGCCACACCCAAUACGUUAGGGCACAACAAGUUAAAUUCCCAAAAAUGAUUUUUAUGCAUUUUGAAUGAAAACAUUCUCGGUCAUUUAGGAUUGACAAAGAAAAUCAGAACCCAAUACGUUAGGGCUCAAUCCCCCUCAAAAAUCUCAAACUUCCAAAAAUGCUUUCAUUCAAAAACCUUUAAAUCAAGAAAAUAACUUUGAUGAAUGGUUAAAACCAAAAAUAUAUUUUCAAAAGGGUAUGUUAAAAAGUUAAUAUACAAUAUGAUACAGAUCCUUUAAUUUACAGCAUAUACGAAUAAAUAUUUGUAAAUAUAAAUAUACAAAUACAAUAUAACAGUAAAAUUACAAAUAUAUGUACACAUACAGCUAACACAUAUACAAGUAUACGUACAAAUAGAAGGAAUAAAAUAUAUCCAAUGAAACAAGCACCAAAACAUGUAUUCAAAAUAAAAUAAAAAGGGAAAAAAAUGCAUAUGUAUAUAUUUACAAAAGUAAAGUAAAACCAAUGUUUUCAAAAAUAAAAUAUAAAAGAUAUAUAUGUUUUGUAAAAAAAAUGCAUGUAUUUAUAAAAAUAAAAAAAUAUGUUAAAAAAUAUGAAAAGGUAUAUAUAUGUAUGUAGAAGUAAAGAAGUAGAAAAAAUAAAAAAAAAGUGUAUUAAAUGUGAAAUAGCUUAAAACCGUAUAUAUUAAAAAAUGCAUAUAUAUUAUAUAUAAAAGUAGGCGUAUGUACCAUAUAUAAAAACAUUUAUAAAUAUAUUAUGUAAAAACUGUGCGUGUAUGAAUAUAGAGGUAAUGAUAAUAACUAUGAUAAUAAAUAAUAUAACAAUAUGAAAUAAUGAUAAAUAUUUAAAAAAAUUAAAAAUUAAAAAAAAUUAAAAAAAACAAAAUGGACUAAAUUGAACUUAAAAACAACAAAAAUGGGGUAGAUUCGAAAAUAAAUAAAAGAGGGCAAACUUGAACACGCGAACAAUUAUGGGGGACUAAAAGGGAAAUUAAUCCCUCCCUCCAAAACGCUGCGCAGUGAAGGACCGAAUUGAAACAGAAAUGAAAGAUACGGCCAAAUUAAAAAAAAACAAAAUGAGUGUAAUUGAAGUGCGCUGCAAACAAGAGGGGCCAGUUGCGCAAAUAGACCAUGUGACGUCAGAGCGCGCGGAUCCUCCCCUCCGAGUCGGGUCACCGCGCGGGUCUGGGCCUGGACGAAACGGCGCUGUUUUGAAUAUUGUUUAAAACCAAAUUCUUGCCCUUCAAAAUCGGUUGAAAUCGAAUGGAAAAAAAAAUAAAAUAAAGAAAAUAAAAUAAAAUAAAAAAUUUCUGGUGCUCUGCUAGGGUUUAAACCCUAGCAUCCUCGCGCCACCCCUCAACCCACGCCGGUGCUCCGAUCGCAGCGGAUCCGGCGACAGUCCGGUGUCUCCGACGAAAGAGGUAAAAUCCCUCCUUUUUCUUGGUUAUUUUAAACAAAAUAAUGAUGGAAAUAGAAAACAAGAAAAAUUUCGAAAAAAAACGCUGUUAAAAUAAAAAGCAAAAAUCACCUUUGAAAAACUACUUUAAUCUGUAUUUCUUUCAAGUUCUUUUCUCCUUUUUCUAUUUCUCUAUCUAUUCAAUAUUCCGUCCUUUUUUAUAGAUUUCAAAGGGCCUUUUAUAGGCCAAAAAUAAAAUAAAUCGAGGGGAAAAAACAAUCUUGCUUGCUGUUUUUUUCUCUUUGGACUCCUUGAGUCCGUUUUUCAGGUGUUCGUGGAGAGUUUGGCGCACGUGGAGGCUGAAACGUGUGGCGAUCGGGCGUUGGGUUUUUCUCCUUAUUGCUUAGGGUUUUUCUGCUUAACUUUGUAGUGUUGGGCCAGGAGCCGUUUUGGGCCGUCUGUUUAACUUUGUAAUGUUGGACUAGGAACUGUUUUGGGCCGAUUGGGCCUUAUUACAUUCAUAUCAUAAAAUUUUCAGAAUUUUUGGUUCAGCCAAAUAGUACAGUUUAUUCUUUAAAGUUUCUCCUGUUUUGCUGUUUGACAGUUCCGACCACUCUUCACUAAAAAUUAAUUAUCUCAUUGUAAAGAAUUUGGAUGAUGUUUUCGUUUGUUUCUUAUAAAAAUAGACUCAUUAAGUAUUCUAACCAUAUAAAUUAUAACUCAUAAUCAUUUUUGUACGAUUUUUAAUGAUUUUCCAAAGUUAGAACAGGGGAACCCGAAUUCAUUCUGACAUUGUCUCACAAAAUCUAUUAUAUCUCAUGAUUUACAAUUUCAUUGCUCACACCAUUUCUUUUAUAAGAAACUAGACUCAAUAAGCUUUAGUUUCAUAUUUUAUUCAUCCUCUAAUUCAAUCUCUACAAUUUUUGGUGAUUUUUCAAAGUUACACUACUGCUGCUGUCCAAAACUGCUUUAGAGCAAAAUGUUGAUUUCCAUUUUGCCCCAAAUUUCACAGUUUAUACAAUUCGGUCCUUUCUCAAUUAACCCCUCAAUUAAUCUAAUUUUCUCAAUUAAUACUUUACCUAGACAUUAUAAGUUGUUACUCAACUAUUGAAAUCCAGAAUUUCCACAUAUAACUCUAUCUUCAAACUCUUUUACUAUUAGUCCCAAACAUUCACUUUCUAUUCAAUUCUUUCAAUAAAAUCAGCAUAUGAACAAUUUAAAGCUCUAAUUUCAUGAUAAAUCAUCAUAUAAUUCCAGCACAUAUUCAUAUCAACUUUCAACUUCUUUCAUAAAAUCAAAAACUAAUGAAUUUAACAAAUGGGCCUAGUUGUAAAAGUCAUAAAAAUACAAAAAUUUCAAGAAAUAGUCAAGAAUUGAACUUACUUGUAAUAAAAAAAUGAAGAACCAGCUUGAAGAAGCCCUUCCAUGGUGUUUUAGCUGAUGAUAAUUCAGAAAAAUGAAGAGAAAUCUAGAUAAUUCCUCUUUGGUCCUAACUUUAUUAAGCAAAUUUUGCAAUAUUCCAAUUUUGCCCUUAAUUCUUCUCACUUUCUUGCUGAUUUCAUGCCUUUGCCGUCCAGCGCAAAUAGACCUUGGGUCUAUUUGCCUUUUAAACCCUCUUCCUUUUAUCAUUUAAGCUAUUUAAUCAUUUCUCAAAAUUUUGCAUUUGUUACAAUUUAGUCCUUUUUGCUCAAUUAAUUAUCGGAACUUUAAAAUUUCUUAACGAAACUUUAAUACUAACUUUUUAACACUCCAUAAAUAUUUAUAAAAAUAUUUAUGACUCGGUUUAAAAUCCCCGAGGUCUUGAUACCUCAUUUCGAUUCUAAUUAUUUUAAUAUUUAUUUCUAGUGCACUAUUCACUAUUUCAAAAAUUUUCCUAACUUCACAUUUAACUUAUACUUACUAAAUUAAUAAUAUUUUCUACCCAUUUUUCGAAUUUAGUGAUCUCGAAUCACCGUUCCGACACCUCUGAAAAUUCAGGUCAUUACAUUUUUUUUCUCAUCGGAUUUGUGGUCCCAAAACCACUGUUCCGACUAGGCCUAAAAUCGGGCUAUUACAGAUCCUAUCCCGGAUCGGGUCACCGCCUGGAUCUGGUCAUCGAACAGCGCCGUUUUGAAGCUAUUAUGUUAGCAUCAAACGGCGACGUUUUAGUCCCGUGUUUAAAACCAAAACAAACCCUAAAUCUAACACUUCCACUUUUAAAAAAGAAAACUAACCUAACCCCCCCUUUUUUGCGCCGCUCGACGAAACGUCACCCAGAGCCCUCACCCCUCAUUGCAACUCUGAUGACUGCGGAGAGAGCAAAGGUCCGGCCACCGGGUACGUUUCCCCUUUUCCUUUUACUGUUUCCCUUAAUAAACGAUCGAUGGAUGCCAAAAUAAAAAAAACGAAGGGGAAAGAAAGAAGCGAUUUACGAAUAAAAACGGGAACUCAGAAAUCACCUUUUUUUCUUGUAUUCUCGAUUUUUUUGUGUGUGUGUUUUUUUUCUGUUACAGCAUUCUUGGUCUUUUAUAGUGUCUAUUUACAGAAAAAAUAAAAAAAGGUAAAAAUGAAAAUCCCACCAAAUCGUCCCCCACUCUGUCAUCUUUUCUUUUUUCUCUCUGCCCCUUUUUGUGUGUCGUUGCUAUCUAUUUUUCUGCCCAUUUGCUCGUCUCUUGCAGGUACGGUGUGCAGAGCUGCGGACGUGGCAUGUACGGAAGUGAAGGUGCGCGUACGAGGGCUCGUCACGUGCGGAGGGAGAGCGAGGGGGUGUCACUGCUGUGGCGCUGGGAACCCUUGCUGCUAGGGUUUCUGGUGUGAUUUGGGCUGGGUGUUGGGUUUGUAAUGUUUGGGCUUAGUGAGUCUUGAAACUUUAGGCUAGUUGGGUCUACUAGGAUUUGGGCUAAUUGUAAAUGGACUGUUUUUGGACUGAAUUUGAUUUAUUAUUUUUCUUGUUUUUUUCGCUUAUUCUGAAUGGUCCCCGGGCAAAUUGGGCCUAUUACAGAGUUGAUCCGAAUAAAUUGAUUAACUCGAAUAACUAGAACUAUUUAAUUUAAAAUUUAAAUCUUUUAUCAAAUUUUUUAAAUCAAAUCGAAUUUUGCUCACCCUAAUAUUAAAUGAGAUUGCGCUUAGCUUUAAUGAAUAAAUAACCUCAUCACUUAGGUCCACGUUCUUGCAUUUGAUUUUCUUGGGAACCAACAUGGAUUCUCCCUUGUAAAUUUAUGAUAUUUAACUAUACUUUAACACUCUUGCAUAUUUCUCUUGAGAAAAAAAAAUGUUGAUUUCUUGGUAAAUACCUUCAAACCCCCAACUAAUGAUAAAGAAAUUGAAAUCUACUUUGGACUGGUGAAUUCUAUCUUGAAAUAUUACUUUUUUACAAUAUUUUUGGUCGUCAAUGUAAUUCUCCUUCUGUCUCUUACUUUGGAAAUUGUUCCAAAAUUUUACGCAUUAACUUGUUGAUUGUAAUGUGAUAAGAAGUAUAAAGGAAGGGUUUGUUAUCUUGGUUAUCAAAUUUCUCUAGUUCUUCAAUUCAAAUAUUGUCAACCUUGCUUAUUGGCAUCUUCUUCAAUGUCUUUGAUAUUCCAGGUAACAUUUAUGUGGUUGAUAAUCCUUUUCCCAUACAAGUUAUAAUAAUUUUGAAACACAUUAGUCAUUGUGAAUUAGCCAUUGGCUAUGUGUGAUCCAAAAUCUUAAGACUUUGAGAGAACAAAUUUCUGUAGCAGCAAAUAUGCAUCUUUCUUUUUGGUAGGUGCAAGAGAUUGUGAAGUGAAACUGAAAAUGAAAAUUACUGUCAUGCCAAAAUAAUGGUUUCAAAUUGUAGGAAAAAAAACAAAUGUUAUGUAAAUUGAAAAUCAAUAAUUCGUUUUAACUUAUUUGGUUUCUUUGAAUCUUUUUAUUAAGUCAACUAAGAAAUGAGAUUGUAGCUUCUUUGUUUUCAAGCAUCUAGCCAUAAAAUUAUGAACAAUCUUUUUCUCAUGAAUAUGCAGUAAGAAGUUAGAGAACUUGUUGCUCAGUUUGGUGCUUGAAAGUAUGAGUCAAGAAAUUAACAACUCUUAUCCCCAACUUUAAAUUACUCGAGAGUAAAAAAUCCCAUUAAAUAAAUCUGCAGGAGAGUUAUACUUUCAUGAUUAGGUAUCAUGAAUAGGUAAAAGAUGUUGCCUAUAUCAUGUUAGUUCUAAAAAAAUCAAAAGUGAUGCUGAAGUUUAAUCUUGUUUAAGUUAUUAGCUGAUUAAGGAUGGUAAUAUACCAGUUUAUGGUAGAAAAAAGGUUAAUAGCCACGUGCUUUGGAUGGGAAACUUGUUAAUGUAAAAGAAUAAGAACAUAGACCUGUUAAACAUUUAUAGGUGGGGCAGGAUACAGAGCACAAUAAAGGUGCAAAAGACUUUUGUUCUUCUGGGAAGAAAAGUAGAAGAAUAUUGCUAGUAGCAUCCCUCAAGAGCCAUGUUACAACUUCAUAGGAUUGAGUAGGCUUGUGGGUUUUGUUCGAUAAAACAAUCACCAUGGCUCGAAUAACAAUACUUGUAGCUGCCGCCGCCCCACCUAUCAUAAACUGGCCUACAAUAAGUCCAAUAGCAUGGAGGUGGAGGUGGUCCACCAAAGUAGCAAGGGUCCCCACAUUGGCCAUGAUAACAUGCAUUGCAACAAAAUCCAGCCCACGUACCAGCCGUCAGCAGUGAAGAAACCGGUGUUUCUGGUGGUUUCCGCAGUAAAUUAGCUGGCCCUUCUGGUGGUUUCGGCAGUGAAGAAGCCCGUCUGGCUGGUGAUUUUGGCGGUGGUUUGAUCUCAAUGCUCUCGAUGGAAAAGCCACCCUUGCAACGUAAUUUGUCCCUCACCUUCUCCGGAUUGCAGCAAACCACAAUGAUGGUCACCGUGUUGGCCUUCUCGUCGAAUGUCUGGUCUCGUAUUUCUAUCGUUCACAAAAGCCAUAAUAAAAUAUCAACUCAGACUUAUCGCCUUGUGCUCUCAACGAUCACCCAAGACCUAAUUAACUAUACUACUGUGUUUCAAUUCAAUAAUAAUAAUAAUGCGUCACAAUACAAAUCACAAAUAGGAAUAAAUAUGUACAUAUAAUUGCAUAUAAAGCAUAAAAGUCAAGAUACUCACCAGGGAACUCACAAAGUACUUUCCUCACUUUCAAGUAGCAGCGACGACACCGAAGGUCGACCGUCAGCACCAUUAUCGUCAUCUACGUCCGUAGUAUAUAUUGCGUUAAAUAACUACGUAUUAAUGAUGGAAGACAUAGUUACAUGAGCGAAUUUGAAAAAAAUGCUGAUUUUAAAAAACACCUCCCAGAUUUUACUUUUCUCCAACUUAUUCUUUUAAUACAUCAACAUUUUCUUUCAGAUAUUUAAACGAUGAGAAAUGAUUGUAUCAAAUUGUAAUUCUAUCUCAUUAUUAUCCUUUUCUAACCGGAAAAUAACAAAUUAGAUUUUUUUCUUGAUUUUCAACUUUUUUCUCCUGAAAAAAUUUAAAUCUAAUUAAAAAUACUAAAAAUCAAUACAAAAAAUCUGUCGAUGACCUGAAAUUAUAGUUCAUACAAUCUCUUCUCUUAAAUGUUAGCGGUCUUAUCUUUGACUUUACGAUUCGACUCCUCUCUUACUCAUAUUAUUUUUUAUUUUAUAUUAUUUCAAGCUUUACUUUUAUUUUUAAUUACUGUUUUUAACAUGUUAGCAUUCCUAGUUAAAUGAUUAAAUAAAAAUAAUUUUAUUUUUUAGUCUUCUUUUCUAAGCACAUUUGUAUUUUUUAUUUCAUAUUGUUUCAAAAUUUUUUUAGUUAAUGUUUUUAAUUAAUAAUUUUUUUAUUUUUAAUUCAUCUUUUUAAUUAAUAAAUUUUUAUUAAUUAAAAAGAUGAAUUAAAAAUAAAAAAAUUAAAAUAAUAUAUUUAUUAAUUAAAAAUAUUGAAAAUAAAUAUUAACAAAUGUGGGUAAGAAAAGCGAGACUUAAACAUAAAACUAUUAACAUUAAUUAUCUAACCAAAAAAAUUAUAUUAAAAAAUCAGAAAGCGUGUUUUAUAUAAAAAAAAAUACACAAAACCCUAAAUAUUUUUUUAAAAUAAACUCUCUUUUUUCUUUUUUUUUUUCAAAUUCCGCCUAGUUCUAUAUCACAAAUUAAGCAUUUUUUGCUGAUUAAUUUGACAAGAGAAAAGGGAAAUAAGGUAUUCGGGUUCUGGCACGGAAGAAUGGGCAGAUGACUGGAUGACUUAUAUAUUGAAGGGCAAAGGAAAAAGAAAAGGAGCCACAAAAUCGAAAAUAGGAAUAAAUUUUUACGAAUGAAUAGAAGCCCUAAAAAGAAAAAGAAAUGGGUGUUAGCUGGUAAUUAACACUGAAAGAAUGAAAGUAUAGAGGAAAAUGAAACCUUGUGCUUGUCCGCCAUCUCUAGCUGUUAUGGUGGAGCUGAAAAUCCCAGAUCUGAACUGAGAAGAUAAGCAGCAAAGCAAGAGUGGUGAAAUGAAGAUUGAAUUAAUUUUGAAGUGAGAACAGUUUGAUAUACCAAACCAAAUCCGCGGUAGAAGUAAGAAACCAAGAGCCAUAUAAAAUUAAGGCGGGCAGCUAGUAGUUGGUAAGGUUUUAAAAAUUGCGCGUUAGUACGAUAUUUACUCUCCCAUUUCAGGGGCAUAUUUAAAGUCCAAAAUAAUAAAAAAUUUCAUGUUAAAUUUAUGUGUUUAAUUUCUAAAUUUAUUUCACUAUUUUUUUUACUUAAUCGGAUCGAUCCUAAUAAUAUUUGUAGCCGCCGCCGCCCACCUAUCAUAAACUGGCCUACCAUAAGUCCAAAAGCAUGGAGGUGGAGGUGGUACACCAAAGUAGCAAGGGCCCCCACGUUGUCCAUGAUAGCAUUCAGUGCAACAAUAUCCUGCAAGCAGACCGGCCGUCGGCGGUGGAGAUUCCUGUUUUCCUGUUGGUUCCCGCGGUGGCGAAGCCCGUUUGGCU
rnacentral:lncRNA from 1 species